rnacentral:lncRNA from 1 species
UUUUUUUUCCGUUUUUUGUUUCGGUUUUCUUCCGAAACCCUAGAUCGGUUUUCCGUUUCUUUUUCGAUUUCUUUUCCGAAAACCCUAGAUCGGUUUUCGUUCUUCUUUCGGACCGUUCGUCUCGACGAACGUGAUCACCGAUUAUUCCCCGGUUAACGAACGUCUGUUCGUUUAACUGUUCGUCUCUUUCUUUUCGUCGGAUUUAUUCCGCGAUCGUGAUCUCAGAUCCGAUCUUCGUUCUAGUCUUUCUUCUCGCUCGUUUAUCGGAAUCAGGUGAUUCAAGCGCCUGGAGUUUCGUUUCGAAACCGCCGUUCCGUCUAAUCAACUUAAACAAGUUUUUGCCCCGGUAAAAUUUGACCUAGUUUCAACUUGCUAGAACCGAGUUGUUUUCUUCUGCCGCUUGUUUUCCGUUUCUUUGUUCGGUUCGUUCUUUCUUUUGCCAACCGGAGUUCUUAAGUUGAACUUCCUGGUUCGUUCUCCUGUUCGAGUUUUACCUGUGCAUUAGGUGAGUACUUAUUGUAUGCUUGUUGUUUGUCUGUGAUAGAUCACCCGGAUUGCGCCGCUUGUUACUUCGAAACCCUAGGUCUCGCGGAUCAUCAGCAAGGCAAGUAACACUUUGAUCAUACCUUUUUCUACAACCCAGUUUUAUUGCAUUAGAUAAAUCCUCACACAUUGCAUGAUUAGGAUCUAAUUAAACUGUGGGAUGGGAAGUAGAUGAGGUAGUACCUAUUACCUGUAUUGUUAUGAAACCUUUGGGAGUUACUUCUACGUUUGCUUAUUAUGCCAUGCUAUGCUAGUAGACGUGGAUUGGGUGAGUGAUAUCCAUGACAGAUGUGAGUUGAUAAUUUUAAUGGUUUAUCUAAGGUGGCAACUUAAACACACAUCUGGGUGGAUUGAGGCACCUGAUGUCUAUCAGGACUUGCCUGUUUUAUUUUGGACCGCCACCCAGGCUCAAAGGGAUCAUAAGAUCAUUCAUGCUAGAAACUUCCGUGUGCAGCCACAUGCUACUAUGGGCUCUGGCAUAGUUGACUAAGUUGUGCGAACUCUUACGGGGUGGACUAGCAGAUGUAGGGGUUGUAGGUGGUACGGUCUACCCCACAUGUAAGGUGCUAGCGCUUCUGAAAGACUAUGUCUCGGUCAUCCGUUUCUCAAACACCAUGUAGUGCGAGAAAACAAACGGAGGCGAUUGAGUCAUGUGGGGAAAAGUGCGCAAACCUCUGCAGAGUGUACAAACUAAUCAUGAUUAGCCGUGUCCCCGGUUACGGACAACUUGAGUAUCUAGUACUUGAAUAUCAUGUGAAUCUCAACAUGUUACUUCUAAUUAAUGUUGUUGGGUUUUUAAUUGUUCACUUAAUUGGGAUCGGAAUGCUGUCAACCAUUCUCGAUGUUUAACAACUACCAUGAUAGUUAAACAAAUUUAUUCCUUUGCAGUAGGGAAAAACUGGCUUUACGCAAAACUGUAACCAUAGAGCUUUCCACCAGCCAUAUAUGCAUAUAGUAUAGAUGUUUCAUUCCAUUACUCUCUAUGUGUUACGUUGCCAGCAUAUUCCAUGUGCUGACCCGUUUUCGGGCUGCAACUUCUCAUGUUGCAGACUUUUCAGAUGACGAGUAAGGUGCUUUUAGGUCGUGGCCCUAUACUCAAUGAUGCCGUUGGAGUUGAUGGACCCAUUUAUCUUCUGAGUCUUCCGCUGUUAUCGUUAUUAGAUGACCUUAAGCCAUAUUUAUUGUAAAAGUUCUCUUUGAGACAACGAUGUAAUAAGUGUGUGAUUGCCACUCUGCUAUAAAUCCUUCGAUGUACUGUGUGGUGUCAGCAUUACUGAUCCAGGGAUGACACCUGAGCACAGAGCACUUGAUCCAUUCGGGUCAGGUCGCGACAGAGAUGGUAUCAGAGCACACGCUGACUGUAGGACACGACCACUAAGUUAAAGCCAUAGAUCACCAUUCUCUUCUCAUUUUCUAAACUCCUCAUCCUUUCUACUCUUUUAGGAUGACGAACGCGAAGAUUAAGUACGCCCAACCGGAUGAAGGCACACCAUUUGGAUUUCACCUGAAGGAAGUCACCAAGUACCUGAACAUUGGAUUACCAAGCUUCACGGGAACCUUCAACGCCACUCUGCCUGAAGAGGAGCGCUGGAAGAUUCAAACUCACGUUCCGAGAAGGACAUUCGCACCAAUCACGAAGCCCAUAGAUAGUGUUUUCAAUGCACCAACCUGGAGUCUGGGAAGGAGCAUGGCAGCUCAUAUCACCAUAGGACGCAUUGGAGAAGUUUACCAAGAAGACCUCAAGGACACUAUCUACCAGAUUUGCGGACGCCAAGAUGAACAAUGGGAGUUAGUCAGCACCAAGAAGGAUAGAUCCAUUGCAUCUUUCAUCCAGGAGUUAAACCAGCACAUUCGACGCCACGAGAACCAGAUGUGCAAUGAUAUGAUAGAGUUGAAGAAUGCAAAGGCAAGGAUCAUCGAGCUAGAAGGAGAACUCAGGUCUACACGCAAGGACUACAUGGAUGAGAUCGUAGCUCUAGCAAAGCACAAUGGCGAUCUUAAGCAGGAGAUUGAAGAACUCAAGAGGAAGUUAGCAUCCACGGAGGAAGACAAGUACGUCGCAUGUCCGAACAACUACAUCAUCAUCGACGACACUGAUUCGGAUCCAAGUGAACCCGACUUUGAAGACGAAGCUGGAGCAGAUAUCAUGGAGUCUUCCACCGGUUCAAAUUUCUAGAUGACCACCAGAUAGUAGUAGCAUUUCCCCCCUGUAAACAUUAUAGUUCGAGCACUUUUGCGAUAGUUUUAGACCGAUUGUAAGCCCUUGUUUGAUUGAAUGAAGUGAUUUUGUGUGCAUUUGCUCAUGUGCAUUGGCGUAGUGUUUUCCCUUUAGACCUCACUCUAUUCUUAAUUCUCGUCUUUUCUAAACCCUUAGAUGCCUCCGAGACGUGACAAUGGAUUCCCACCAGAGCUCACUCAGUUGAUCCAGCAACAGAAUCAAUUGAUGCAGAUGUUAGUCCAGAACCAACAGAACAACAACAACCCACCACCACCACCACCACCUGUUGACCACUUAGCCCGUUUCCUUAGGCUGAAUCCGCCGGUGUUUUCCAGUAGCACCGAGCCGAUAGUAGCAGACGAUUGGCUCCGCAAGAUAGGAAGGGAGUUGACCACUGCAGGAUGCACAGAUGGUGAGAAAGUGAAGUUUGCCACUCACCAGCUUAACGGACCCGCGGCAGCAUGGUGGGAGAAUUUCACAGCCACUUACCCAGUUGACACUGUCACAUGGGAUCAGUUUCAGCAAGCUUUCUGCACUGCCCAUGUUUCAGCAGGAGCAAUGGCCAUGAAGAAGCGUGAGUUUCGUAACUUACGCCAAGGAGGACGAACAGUUGGACAGUAUGUGGAGGAGUUUAGUAAGCUAGCACGUUAUGCCCCAGAUGACGUUGCUACGGAUGCAGCUAAGCAGGAGAAGUUUAUGGAAGGACUGAAUGAUGAACUAAGCAUGAAGUUGAUGGUAGCCACCUUCAACAACUACCAGGAGUUGGUAGAUCAUGCUCUUAUGAUUGAAGGGAAGCAGCAGCAAAUUGAGAACCGCAAGAGGAAGUAUGGACAAGGAAAGUAUAAUUCAGGAGCUCAGCAGAAGCCCCGUUUUACCCCAAAACCGGGAUUUCAGUUUCAGCAUACCCAUGGAGGAGGUAGCUCGCACAACCAUAAUGGCCACAAGAAUGGUAAUGGGAAUGGAGGAAGCAACGGCCAGAACCGGACCACCCCAUCGACCCCAACCAAGAGAGACCUGAGUCAAGUCACUUGUUUCAAGUGUUCCAAGACCGGACAUUAUGCCAAUGAAUGUCCCGAAGGACAGAAUGGAAAUGGCAAUGGAAGCUCUGGGAAGAAGCCGAACCCUUUCAAUAGGGGACAGGUGAACCACAUUAAUGUGGAGGAGGUUGAAGAUCAGCCUGAUGCAGUAAUCGGUAAGUUUCUGGUUAAGUCAUUUACCGCACUCGUUCUUUUUGAUACUGGUGCAUCGCAUUCAUGCAUAUCAAGGCGAUUUGUGGAUAAAUAUAACCUGCCAACCCAAGCCCUUAGGUCACCCAUGUUAGUAAGCUCACCAGGAGCGGAGUUUAUGGCUAGACGAUGGUGUGAUCGGUUACCAUUAAGGAUUGGUAACUAUGUGUUUCCCUCAGACCUAAUAGUAUUGGAAUCUCAAGGGUUGGAUGUGAUAUUAGGCAUGGAUUGGUUAUCAAAGUAUAAAGGGAAUAUUGAGUGUGCCAGUAAGACAAUUUUUCUUACCACACCAGAAGGAAGAAGGAUCAAGUAUGUAUCCCGGCAUGUGCCAAACAGGACACAAGUAAACUGCCUAACAGGAGUUGUGCAAGAGGAAGUACCAGUGGUGAAGGAUUUUCCUGAUGUAUUUCCUGAGGAAUUGCCAGGCAUGCUACCGGAUAGAGACAUUGAGUUUUUGAUUGAGUUUUGCCAGGUACAGGCCCAAUAUCGAAGCGACCGUACCGGAUGCCAACAAAGGAUUUGGUGGAAAUUAAGAAUCAGAUUAAGGAGUUAUUGGAUAAAGGGUACAUUCGCCCAAGUUCUUCGCCUUGGGGAUCACCCGUACUUCUAGUGGAAAAGAAGGAUGGAUCAUUAAGGAUGGUUGUAGAUUAUCGGGGAUUGAAUGAAGUAACCAUCAAGAACAAGUACCCACUGCCAAUGAUCAACGAGAACUAUCGGGUUCGAGAACUAUGUAGACAUUACCGAGACACGUCUCCGGUCAAUAACCAAUAGCGGAAUCUGGAUGCUCAUAUUGGCUCCUACAUAUUCAACGAAGAUCUUUAUCGGUCAGACCGCAUAACAACAUACGUUGUUCCCUUUGUCAUCGGUAUGUUACUUGCCCGAGAUUCGAUCGUCGGUAUCUCAAUACCUAGUUCAAUCUCGUUACCGACAAGUCUCUUUACUCGUUCCGUAAUACAUCAUCCUGCAACUAACUUAUUAGUUGCAAUGCUUGCAAGGCUUGAGUGAUGUGCAUUACUGAGAGGGCCCAGAGAUACCUCUCCGACAAUCAGAGUGACAAAUCCUAAUCUCGAAAUACGCCAACCCAACAAGUACCUUCGGAGACACCUGUAGAGCACCUUUAUAAUCACCCAGUAACAUUGUGACGUUUGGUAGCACACAAAGUGUUCCUCCGGUAAACGGGAGUUGCAUAGUCUCAUAGUCAUAGGAACAUGUAUAAGUUAUGAAGAAAGCAAUAGCAACAAACUAAACGGUCAAGUGCUAAGCUAACGGAAUGGGUCAAGUCAAUCACAUCAUUCUCCUAAUGAUGCGAUCCCGUUAAUCAAAUGGCAACUCAUGUCUAUGGUUAGGAAACAUAACCAUCUUUGAUUAACGAGCUAGUCAAGUAGAGGCAUACUAGUGACUCUCUGUUUUUGUCUAUGUAUUCACACAUGUAUUAUGUUUUCGGUUAAUACAAUUCUAGCAUGAAUAAUAAACAUUUAUCAUGAUAUAAGGAAAUAAAUAAUAACUUUAUUAUUGCCUCUACGGAAUAUUUCCUUCAGUCUCCCACUUGCACUAGAGUCAAUAAUCUAGAUUACACAGUAAUGAUUCUAACACCCAUGGAGCCUUGGUGAUGAUCAUGUUUUGCUCGUGGAAGAGGCUUAGUCAGCGGGUCUGCAACAUUCAGAUCCGUAUGUAUCUUGCAAAUUUCUAUGUCUCCCACUUGGACUAAAUCCCGAAUGGAAUUGAAGCGUCUCUUGAUGUGUUUGGUUCUCUUGUGAAAUCUGGAUUCCUUUGCCAAGGCAAUUGCACCAGUAUUGUCACAAAAGAUUUUCAUUGGACCCGGUGCACUAGGUAUGACACCUAGAUCGGAUAUGAACUCCUUCAUCCAGACUCCUUCAUUUGCUGCUUCCGAAGCAGCUAUGUACUCCGCUUCACAUGUAGAUCCCGCCACGAUGCUUUGUUUAGAACUGCACCAACUGACAGCUCCACUGUUCAGUAAAAACACGUAUCCGAUUUGCGAUUUAGAAUCGUCCGGAUCAGUGUCAAAGCUUGCAUCAACGUAACCAUUUACGAUGAGCUCUUUGUCACCUCCAUAUACGAGAAACCUAUCCUUAGUCCUUUUCAGGUAUUUCAGGAUGUUCUUGACCGCUGUCCAGUGAUCCACUCCUGGAUUACUUUGGUACCUCCCUGCUAGACUUAUAGCAAGGCACACAUCAGGUCUGGUACACAACAUUGCAUACAUGAUAGAGCCUAUAGCUGAAGCAUAGGGAACAUCUUUCAUUUUCUCUCUAUCUUCUGCGGUGGUCGGACAUUGAGUCUUACUCAACUUCACACCUUGUAACACAGGCAAGAACCCUUUCUUUGCUUGAUCCAUUUUGAACUUCUUCAAAACCUUGUCAAGGUAUGUGCUUUGUGAAAGUCCAAUUAAGCGUCUUGAUCUAUCUCUAUAGAUCUUAAUGCCCAAUAUGUAAGCAGCUUCACCGAGGUCUUUCAUUGAAAAACUCUUAUUCAAGUAUCCCUUUAUGCUAUCCAGAAAUUCUAUAUCAUUUCCAAUCAAUAAUAUGUCAUCCACAUAUAAUAUCAGAAAUGCUACAGAGCUCCCACUCACUUUCUUGUAAAUACAGGCUUCUCCAAAAGUCUGUACAAAACCAAAUGCUUUGAUCAAACUAUCAAAGCGUUUAUUCCAACUCCGAGAGGCUUGCACCAGUCCAUAAAUGGAUCGCUGGAGCUUGCACACUUUGUUAGCUUCCUUUGGAUUGACAAAACCUUCUGGUUGCAUCAUAUACAACUCUUCUUCCAGAAAUCCAUUCAGGAAUGCAGUUUUGACAUCCAUUUGCCAAAUUUCAUAAUCAUAAAAUGCGGCAAUUGCUAACAUGAUUCGGACAGACUUAAGCAUAGCUACGGGUGAGAAGGUCUCAUCGUAGUCAAUCCCUUGAACUUGUCGAAAACCUUUUGCAACAAGUCGAGCUUUGUAGACAGUAACAUUACCGUCAGCGUCAGUAUUCUUAUUGAAGAUCCAUUCAUUCUCAAUUGCUUGCCGAUCAAUGGGCAAGUCAACCAAAGUCCACACUUUGUUCUCAUACAUGGAUCCCAUCUCAGAUUUCAUGGCUUCUAGCCAUUUUGCGGAAUCUGGGCUCACCAUCGCUUCUUCAUAGUUCGUAGGUUCAUCAUGAUCUAGUAGCAUGACUUCCAGAACAGGAUUACCGUACCACUCUGGUGCGGAUCUUACUCUGGUUGAUCUACGAGGUUCGGUAGUAACUUGAUCUGAAGUUUUAUGAUCAUUAUCAUUAGCUUCAUCACUAAUUGGUGUAGGUGUCACAGAAACCGGUUUCUGUGAUGUACUACUUUCCAAUAAGGGAGCAGGUAUAGUUACCUCAUCAAAUUCUACUUUUCUCCCACUCACUUCUUUCGAGAGAAACUCCUUCUCUAGAAAAACUCCGAAUUUAGCAAUAAAAGAUUUGCCUUCGGAUCUGUGAUAGAAGGUGUACCCAACAGUCUCCUUUGGGUAUCCUAUGAAGACACAUUUCUCCGAUUUGGGUUCGAGCUUAUCAGGUUGAAGCUUUUUCACAUAAGCAUCGCAGCCCCAAACUUUCAGAAACAACAACUUUGGUUUCUUGCCAAACCACAGUUCAUAAGGCGUCGUCUCAACGGAUUUCGAUGGUGUCCUAUUUAACGUGAAUGCGGCCGUCUCUAAAGCAUAAACCCAAAAUGACAACGGUAAAUCAGUAAGAGACAUCAUAGAUCACACCAUAUCUAAUAAAGUACGAUUACGACGUUCGGACAUACCAUUACGCUGUGGUGUUCCGGGUGGCGUGAGUUGCGAAACUAUUCCGCAUUGUUUCAAAUGUAGACCAAACUUGUAACUCAAAUAUUCUCCUCCACGAUCAGAUCGUAGAAACUUUAUUUUCUUGUUACGAUGAUUUUCAACUUCACUCUGAAAUUCUUUGAACUUUUCAAAUGUUUCAGACUUAUGUUUCAUUAAGUAGAUAUACCCAUUUCUGCUUAAAUCAUCUGUGAAGGUGAGAAAAUAACAAUAUCCGCCAUGAGCCUCAACAUUCAUUGGACCACAUACAUCUGUAUGUAUGAUUUCCAACAAAUCCGUUGCUCUCUCCAUAGUACCGGAGAACGGCGCUUUAGUCAUCUUACCCAUGAGGCACGGUUCACAAGUACCAAGUGAUUCAUAAUCAAGUAGUUCCAAAAGUCCAUCAAUAUGGAGUUUCUUCAUGCGCUUUACACGGAUAUGACCUAAAUGGCAGUGCCACAAAUAAGUUGCACUAUCAUUAUCAACUCUGCAUCUUUUGAUUUCAACAUUAUGAAUAUGUGUAUCACUACUAUCGAGAUUCAUCAAAAAUAGACCACUCUUCAAGGGUGCAUGACCAUAAAAGAUAUUACUCAUAUAAAUAGAACAACCAUUAUUCUCUGAUUUAAAUGAACAACCGUCUCGCAUCAAACAAGAUCCAGAUAUAAUGUUCAUGCUCAACGCUGGCACCAAAUAACAAUUAUUUAGGUCUAAUAUUAAUCCCGAAGGUAGAUGUAGAGGUAGCGUGCCGACCGUGAUCACAUCGACUUUGAAACCAUUUCCCACACGCAUCGUCACCUCGUCCUUAGCCAAUCUUCACUUAAUCCGUAGCCCCUGUUUCGAGUUGGAAAUGUUAGCAACAGAACCAGUAUCAAAUACCCAGGUGCUACUGCGAGCAUUAGUAAGAUACACAUCAAUAACAUGUAUAUCACAUAUACCUUUGUUUACUUUGCCACCCUUCUUAUCCGCCAAAUACUUGGGGCAGUUCCGCUUCCAGUGACCAUUCUGCUUGCAGUAGAAGCACUCAGUCUCAAGCUUAGGUCCAGACUUGGGUUUCUUCUCCUGAGCAGCAACUUGUUUGCUGUUCUUCUUGAAGUUCCCUUUCUUCUUCCCUUUGCCCUUUUUCUUGAAACUGGUGGUCUUAUUGACCAUCAACACUUGAUGCUCCUUCUUGAUUUCUACCUCCGCGGCUUUUAGCAUCGCGAAGAGCUCAGGAAUAGUUUUAUUCAUCCCUUGCAUAUUAUAGUUCAUCACGAAGCUUUUGUAGCUUGGUGGCAGUGAUUGAAGAACUCUGUCAAUGACACUAUCAACAGGAAGACUAACCCCCAGUUGAGUCAAGUGAUUAUGAUACCCAGACAUUUUGAGUAUAUGUUCACUGACAGAACUAUUCUCCUCCAUCUUGCAGCUAUAGAACUUAUUGGAGACUUCAUAUCUCUCAAUCCGGGCAUUUGCUUGAAAUAUUAACUUCAACUCCUGAAACAUCUCAUAUUCUCCAUGACGUUCAAAACGUUGUUGAAGACCCGGUUCUAAGCCGUAAAGCAUGGCACACUGAACUAUCGAGUAGUCAUCAGCUUUGCUCUGCCAGACGUUCAUAACAUCUGGUGUCGCUCUUGCAGCAGGUUGGCACUUAGCGGUGCUUCCAGGACGUAAUUCUUCUGUGCAGCAAUGAGGAUAAUCCUCAAGUUACAGACCCAGUCCAUGUAAUUGCUACCAUCAUCUUUCAACUUUUCUUUCUCAAGGAACGCAUUAAAAUUCAAUGGAACAAUAGCACGAGCCAUCUAUCUACAAUCAAACAUAGACAAGCAAGAUACUAUCAGGUACUAAGUUCAUGAUAAAUUUAAGUUCAAUUAAUCAUAUUACUUAAGAACUCCCACUUAGAAAGAUAUCCCUCUAAUCCUCUAAGUGAUCACGUGAUCCAAAUCAACUAAACCAUGUCCGAUCAUCACGUGAUAUGGAGUAGUAUCAAUGGUGAACAUCAAUAUGUUGAUCAUAUCUACUAUAUGAUUCACGCUCGACCUUUCAGUCUCCGUGUUCCGAGGCCAUAUCUGUUAUAUGCUAGGCUCGUCAAGUUAAACCUAAGUAUUCCACGUGUGCAACUGUUUUGCACCCGUUGUAUUUGAACGUAGAGCCUAUCACACCCGAUCAUCACGUAGUGUCUCAGCACAAAGAACUUUCGCAACGGUGCAUACUCAGGGAGAACACUUAUACUUUGAUAAUUUAGUGGGGGGUCAUCUUAUAAUGCUACCGUCAAUCAAAGCAAGAUAAGAUGCAUAAAAGAUAAACAUCACAUGCAAUCAAUAUAAGUGAUAUGAUAUGGCCAUCAUCAUCUUGUGCUUGUGAUCUCCAUCUCCGAAGCACCUUCAUGAUCACCAUCGUCACCGGCGCGACAACUUGAUCACCAUCGUAGCAUCGUUAUCGUCUCGCCAAUCUUAUGCUUCCACGACUAUCGCUACCGCUUAGCGAUAAAGUAAAGCAUUACAGCGCAAUUGCACUGCAUACAAUAAAGCGACAACCAUAUGGCUCCUGCCAGUUGCCGAUAACUCGGUUACAAAACAUGAUCAUCUCAUACAAUAAAAUUUAGCAUCAUGUCUUGACCAUAUCACAUCACAACAUGCCCUGCAAAAACAAGUUAGACGUCCUCUACUUUGUUGUUGCAAGUUUUACAUGGCUGCUACGGGCUUAGCAAGAACCAUUCUUACCUGCGCAUCAAAACCACAACGAUAGUUUGUCAAGUUGGUGCUGUUUUUACCUUCGCAAGGACCGGGUGUAGCCACACUUGGUUCAACUAAAGUUGGAGAAACUGACACCCGCCAGCCACCUGUGUGCAAAGCACGUCGAUAGAACCAGUCUCGCGUAAGCGUACACGUAAUGUCGGUCCGGGCCGCUUCAUCCAACAAUACCGCCGAACCAAAGUAUGACAUGCUGGUAAGCAGUAUGACUUAUAUCGCCCACAACUUACUUGUGUUCUACUCGUGCACAACAUCAACGCAUAAAACCUAGGCUCGGAUGCCACUGCUGGGGAACGUAGUAAUUUCAAAAAAAAAAAUCCUACGCACACGCAAGAUCAUGGUGAUGCAUAGCAACGAGAGGGGAGAGUGUUGUCUACGUACCCUCGUAGACUGGCAACGGAAGUGUUGACACAACGUAGAGGAAGUAGUCAUACGUCUUCCCGAUCUGACCGAUCCAAGUACCGAACGUACGGCACCUCCGAGUUCUGCACACGUUCAACUCGGUGACGUCCCUCGAGUUCUGAUCCAGCAAAACGUUGAGGGAGAGUUUCGUCAGCACGACGGCGUGAUGACGGUGAUGAUGUUCUACCGACGCAGGGCUUCGUAUAAGCACCGCUACGAUAUGACCGAGGUGGAAUAUGGUGGAAGGGGGCACCGCACACGGCUAAGGAACGAUCACGAGGAUCAACUUGUGUGUCAUGGGGUGCCUCCUUGCCUCGGUAUAUAAAGGAGGGAGAGGGGGAGGUGCGGCCGGCCCUAUGGGUGCGCCUGGAGGAGUCCUACUCCAACCGGGAGUAGGACUCCCCCCUCUUGUCUUGUUGGAAAAGGAAGGAGGAAGGGAGAAAGAGGAAAGGGCCCCCCCUUUCCUUGUCCUAUUUGGACUAGGGGGGAGGGGGCGCGCGGCCUGCCCUGGCCGGCCCUCCUCUUCUCCCUUAUGGCCCAUGUAGGCCCAAUAACCCCCGGGGGGUUCCGGUAACCCCCCGGUACUCCGGUAAAAUCCCGAUUUCACCCGGAACGUUUUCGAUAUCCAAAUAUAGGCUUCCAAUAUAUCAAUCUUUAUGUCUCGACCAUUUCGAGACUCCUUGUCAUGUCCGUGAUCACAUACGGGACUCCGAACAACCUUCUGUACAUCAAAACACAAAAACCCUAAUUACGAUCGUCACCGAACUUUAAGCGUGCGGACCCUACGGGUUCGAGAACUAUGUAGACAUGACCGGGACACGUCUCCGGUCAAUAACCAAUAGCGGAACCUGGAUGCUCAUAUUGGCUGCUACAUAUUCUACGAAGAUCUUUAUCGGUCAGACCGCAUAACAACAUAUGUUGUUCCCUUUGUCAUCGGUAUGUUACUUGCCCAAGAUUCGAUCGUCGGUAUCUCAAUACCUAGUUCAAUCGCAUUACCGGCAAGUCUCUUUACUCGUUCCGUAAUACAUCAUCCUGCAACUAACUUAUUAGUGGCAAUGCUUGCAAGGCUUGAGUGAUGUGCAUUACUGAGAGGGCCCAGAGAUACCUCUCCGACAAUCUAAACGAUCAAGUGCUAAGCUAACGGAACGGGUCAAGUCAAUCACAUCAUUCUCCUAAUGAUGUGAUCCCGUUAAUCAAAUGACAACUCAUGUCUAUGGUUAGGAAACAUAACCAUCUUUGAUUAACGAGCUAGUCAAGUAGAGGCAUACUAGUGACUCUCUGUUUUUGCCUAUGUAUUCACACAUGUAUUAUGUUUCCGGUUAAUACAAUUCUAGCAUGAAUAAUAAACAUUUAUCAUGAUAUAAGGAAAUAAAUAAUAACUUUAUUAUUGCCUCUAGCGCAUAUUUCCUUCAAAAACAAGGACAAGGGGCCACAUAGCGAUGACGAGGAGGAGCCCCGGCAGCCACACAUCGGAGGACAGAAGAGGUUUCCCCCACAAGUGCGGACGGUGAACAUGAUAUACGCAACCCACAUCCCCAAGAGGGAGCGGAAGCGUGUGCUCAGGGACGUAUAUGCGUUGGAGCCAGUCGCCCCAAAAUUCAACUCGUGGUCCUCCUAUCUGAUCCCUUUCGAUCGCAGGGACAACCCACUAGUAUCCGUCAUGGCGGAUUCGCCACACUAGUUCUGGACCCAAUCAUUGACGGAUUUCACCUCACUCGAGUCCUUAUGGAUGGUGGUAGCAGCCUGAACCUGCUUUAUCAGGACACAGUGCGCAAAAUGGGUAUAGACCCCUCAAGGAUCAAACCCACAAAAAGACCUUUAAGGGCGUCAUUCCAGGCGUAGAGGCCCAUUGUACAGGCCCAAUCACACUGGAAGUGGUCUUCGGAUCCCCGGAUAACUUCCGAAGCGAAGAGUUAAUCUUCGAUAUAGUCACGUUCCAUAGUGGUUAUCAUGCACUGCUCGGGCGAACCGCAUUUGCGAGGUUCAAUGCGGUACCACAUUAUGCAUACCUCAAACUCAAAAUGCCAGGACCUCGCGGGGUUAUUACAGUCAAUGGAAACACAGAGCGCUCUCUCGGAACAGAGGAGCACACUGCGGCCCUCGCAGCAGAAGCGCAAAACAGCCUCUCAAGGCAAUCCACCAGUUCGGCGUUUCAAGACCCGAACACCUUCAAGCGCGCUCGGAGCAAUCGGCAAAUAGACCGCCUGACGCGAUCUGAGCUCGCGUAGCAAUGCGGCCCCCACCCCAGUCCCAGCCAAACGGCGAAACUCGUGCCACGCGUACAUAAUUACGCAUUAAAAAUACCAUGGGCACAUGUGGGGAGGGGGCACAACUGUGGCACGCCCCGAGACGCAGCUUAAACCGCACUAGGGGCUUCCCGUUUGGUUAUUUUUCUCUUUUUCAGGACCUUAAUCUCUGGAAACCCUAUCCGGCAGCACUAUUGCCGAACACAUGAUGUAGCAACCAAGGAGGCGGAAAGCUACGUCACACCACGGAAUUCCCAGGUGGAUUACAAUAACGAGCGAAAUAUUUGAUUUAAUACUAUUCCUCAGCUUGCCCUUGGAAGGGACAUAGUCCCACUCUUUGCUUAUCGCACUAUCUGUAUCAUUCUGCUUUAACGCACCUUUUUGAAUAAACAAUGCAUAACAUCACGACUAUUAUUGCAUUCUUGUUAUAUAUAUAUGUGUGUGCGUUCAUUAACGACGCCUGGCAACCGUACACUUUGGUACGGUCAAUACACCAGGGGCUUACGUACCCCACAAUAUGGUGUGAAAAGUCCGAACACUUUCACAAGUGCGGCACCCUGAACUUAUAGCAUUAUAUGCAUCAGCUCCGAAUCAUGUCUUUGGUCAAAUGUUGGGUUUGCCCGGCUCCUAUGUUUUGGUACCUUAUGUUCCGCUCUAUCGGCCAAGGUAGCGCUAGGAGAACUACUGCGAUUGUGCCCCGGUUCUACCGGGAUGAGCACCUCAGUAGAGAAAGCUAAAACUGACUGUCAUGAUAAGGCGAGAGACUGGUCGCUGUUCGGCGAGGUUUUCGAGUCCCUAAAGACUUAUGCCGCUUAGGGCGAGGGGUCGGCCCUGUCCGGCUUAAAGGCGUGUAUCGCGCCCCGAAUUCGGCCUUCCGAAUACCAGGGGCUUCACUGAAAUUUAAAAUUAUAGAAUUAUAUGGCUAAGUGAGAGUGAUAAAGCAUUAUUAGUCUGGUUGCCUUGUUCGUUGUGCUGAGCACCUCCCUCGAAGGACCCAAACAUGGGAACAAGAGUGCUCAGGUUUAUCCCGAACACCCCAGCACUCGUGGCAUGGGGGCAGAAGCCGAGGACUAGCCAUCUCUCAGAUUGGAUAAACGGACAAACAUAAGGUAAUAUUUUAAAUUCACACAAGCGUUGCAUAGCGCAUAUGAAACAAGUUUUCAUCAUACAGGAUCACACGAGAAAGUUUACUCAAAUAUUACAUCCUUGGAACAUUCAUCCGCUACAAGACGGGCACCCUUCAGGACACCCUCAUAAUAAAUUUCGGGGGUGCGAUGCUCUUUGCCCUGCGGCGGCCCUUCCUUGAUCAGCUUCACAGCAUCUAGCUUGGUCCACUGCACCUUCACAUGGGCGAAAGCCCGGCUUGCACCUUCGAUGCAGACGGACCGCUUGACGACCUCUAGCCAUGGGCAGGCAUCCACAAGCCGCCUCACCAGGCCAAAGUAGUUGUUCGGAAGGGCGUCGCAGGACACAGCCAGACUAUAAGGCCCUUCAUGGCCUGUUCGGCCACCUUGUGCAGCUCGACCAGCUGCUUUAGCUGGUCGCUCAGAGGCAUCGGGUGUUCGGUCCUAGUAUACUGAGACCAGAACAGCUUCUCCGUUGAGCUUGCCUCCUCGGCCUGGUAAAACUGUGCGGCAUACGACACGCUGCGGGGCAAAUCUGUGAAUGCUCCUGGAGAGCUCCGAAUUCGGGUAAGUAAUCGGUAAUUUACUUUUACAUGCUUGCUCUGCAUAUAGAAUGCCUUACCCGCCGCUAUCUUCUUCAUUGCGUCGAUCUCCUGGAGGGCCUUUUGGGCUUCGGCCUUGGCACUUUUCGCGCUCUCGAGGGCCGUGGCUAGCUCAGACUCUCGCGUCUUCGAGUCAAGCUCAAAUGCCUCGUGCUUCGUCAUGAGAGCCUGGAGCUCUUGCUGCAGCUCGCCCACCCGAGCCUCUUGUUUUUCCCACUCGGUGCGCUCCUUGGCCGCUUUAUCUUCGGCCUUGGUCAGCGCUUGCUUCACGGUCGCCACCUCGGUCGUGGCCCCUGGCAAAUAUACGAUGAUCCUAUCAUUUUGCAAUCGCGUCUUAUUUUAUAUAUACAUAUCUGCAGACAUGGUAUUACUUACCCUUGUUCUCCUCGAGCUGCCUCUUGGCAAGGCUGAGCUCUUUCUUGGACCCCUCGAGGUCCUGCUUCAGUACGGCGACCUCCGAAGUAAGUGUGGUGGACGCCAGCAGCGAGGCCUGCAUACGCAUAUUGACAUACUUAUAUUAGACUCCUGCGAUAUUAUUUGAUCCUCUGUUCGGCUUUUCUUUGUGAACACCGAACAAAGCAUCAGGGGCUACUGUCUAUGCGGUAAUAUUUUUCCUAUAUUUUAAAAACACUUACCUCAAAGCCUGUUAGAAGGCUGGCACAGGCUUCAGUCAAUCUGCUCUUAGCGGACUGAACCUUCUGGACCACCGCACUCAUAAUAGUACGGUGCUCCUCGUCGAUAGAAGCGCUGCGAAGCGCUUCCAGCAGAUUGUCCGGCGCCUCUAGAUGGACAGAGGUCACCGGCAUAGGCGUCUUCCCCUCGUGGAAGGAGGCCGCCUGCCCGAGCCCGGAACCACUGGAGGUUCCGGCGCGGUGUUCGGCUGAGGGCCGAAUUCGGAGCUCUCAGGGGCCCCGUCCCCUUGGCUCCCGAAGUCCGGAAGGUCGCCUUGAGGCACCUCCGGGACUGUCUCCCCUCGACCCAAUCCUCUUGAGACAGCACCUCGGCAUCGUCAGCAGGAUGAGGGGAGGUGGCGGUCGGAACUGGAUCGCUAUCCAUGUCCGACGAGCCCAGGGAGCCGUCCGAUGAUACAUCGAUACUGGCUCGUGGCGGCCUACAUAAUUAUGUUCGGCGUUAGGGAAAGUAGUGCGACAAAGGAAUGCUAUGAGUUACUUUGGUAUCCGAAUACUUACGAUCUCCCCAGGAGCUUGGCCCCGGGCAACCACUCGUCCUCGCCUUCGUCGGCGGCGGUGGAACUGUCCGGAAGGAGAGUCCUUCCCUUCUUGGACCCUUCGCCCCCCCCCCCCCAGUCGGGGCGGCCUUCCUUUUUUUGUCUCCCCCGCCUGGAGGGGGAGCAUCUUCUUCUUCCUCCUCGUCUUUGGGGGAGGAGUGUGCCGCAGAGUUAUCGGACGAUGAGUCCGGUAACACCUGGCGCCGGGAACUCUUUUGGGUUCCCUUGGCCUUCUUGGUCUUCUCCGACACCUUGUAAGGAGCCGGAGUCAGCAUCUCCGUCAGGAGAGCGCCCGCAGUGUCUUCGGGCAAAGGGGCCGGACAGUUAAUAUGCCCCGACGUCUCCACCCAGUCCUGUCAAAGGCAUGGAGAUUAGACCCCGCACAUGAUUAAGCUAGGGGAAAUAAAAGUCCUACGGGACGUAUUGAACUCACUGAACGCGCUAGCCGCUUUGCGCUUAGUCCGCGGUCCUCAGUGAGAGAAGGAGGGACCUCGGCGCCCUUGAACAACACCUCCCAGACGUCCUUAUGCGUCGUAUCAAAGAGCUCGCUCAGAGUCUGGUGCCGGGCCGGGUCGAACUCCCACAAGUUAAAAUCCCGUUGUUGACACGGGAGGAUCCGGCGGAUGAGCAUAACCUGGACUAUGUUGACAAGCUUGAGCUUCUUGCUUGCCAUACUCCGGAUACAUUUCUGGAGUCCAUCCAGCUCCACCGAUGAACCCCACGACAAGCCCUUCUCUUUCCAGGAAGUGAGCCGUGUAGGGAAUCCGGAUCGAAACUCGGGGGCUGCCGCCCAUUUGGCGUCGCGCGGCUCGGUGAUGUAGAACCACGCCGAUUGCCAUCCCUUUAUUGUCUCCACGAAGGAGCCUUCAAGCCAUAUAACGUUGGGCAUCUUGCCCACCAUGGAUCCGCCGCAUUCUGCUUGUUGUCCUCGUACCACCUUCGGCUUGAUAUUGAAGGUCUUUAACCACAGGCCGAAGUGGGGCCGAAUGCGGAGGAAAGCCUCACACACGAUGAUGAAUGCCGAAAUGUUGAGGACGAAGUUCGGGGCCAGAUCAUGAAAGUCCAGCCGGUAGUAGAACAUGGGACCACAGACGAAUGGAUGGAGGGGAAACCCCAGUCCACGGAGGAAGUAGUGGAGGAAAACUACCCUCUCGUGGGGUUCCGGGGUCGGGACGAUCUGCCCCGCAGCGGGCAGCUGAUGCGCGAUAUUCGCGGCUAAGUAUCCGGCUCCGCGCAGCUUCUUGAUGUCUCCCUCCGUGACGGAGGAGACCAUCCACCUGCCUCCCGCUCCGGACAUGGUUGGAGAAGGUUGAGGUGGGAAGUGCAGACUUGGGCGCUAGAGCUCGAGUGUGCGAAAAUGGAUGAGCAAAGAAGGAAGAAGGCGUGGAUGAAAAGGUGAAUCCUUAUCCCUUUAUAUGGGCGGACGAAACUGUGCGCCCCCCACUAGCCUGGUAAAACUCGCUUAUCCCCCAAGCGUCGUAAUCGAUGGCGCGGUUGGGUUACCCACGCCCGUAUUGAUGAGAAUCCCGUAAUAAUGGGACACGAUCUCUGCUUUGACAAGACGUGUCAAAAAACUGCCUCGCGUUAUGUGCGGGGCUAGUUAAAGGACACGGUUUGAAUAAUCACCGGGCCAUGACAUAACGUCAUGCUACCAAAACAAGUCAGCAAAUUAGAUUUGCGAAAAUAUUAUUCUCUCUACGGUGGUAUGUGGAACUUAUUUUGCAGGGUCGGACACUAUCCUUGUAUUCAAAUUCUUCCGUGGUGUAUUCGGAGGAGGAACCCGCCUUGCAAUGCCGAAGACAAUAUUGCGCGCCGGACUCAUCGUCAUUGAAGCCUGGUUCAGGGGCUACUGAGGGAGUCCUGGAUUAGGGGGUCUCCGGACAGCGAGACUAUAUCCUUUGGCCAGACUGUUGGACAAUGAAGAUACAAGAUUGAAGACUUCGUCUCGUGUCCGGAUGGGACUCUACUUGGCGUGGAAGGCAAGCUAGGCAAUACGGAUAUGGAUAUCUCCUCCUUUGUAACCGACCUUGUGUAACCCUAACCCUCUCCGGUGUAUAUAUAAACUGGAGGGUUUUAGUCCGUAGGACAACAACUACAACAUACAAUCAUACCAUGGGCUAGCUUCUAGGGUUUAGCCUCUCCGAUCUCGUGGUAGAUCUACUCUUGUACUACCCAUAUCAUCAAUAUUAAUCAAGCAGGACGUAGGUUUUUACCUCCAUCAAGAGGGCCCGAACCUGGGUAAAACAUCGUGUCCCCUGCCUCCUGUUACCAUCCGGCCUAGAUGCACAGUUCGGGACCCCCUACCCGAGAUCCGCCGGUUUUGACACCGACACCGCAUAACAACAUACGUUGUUCCCUUUGUCAUCGGUAUGUUACUUGCCCGAGAUUCGAUUGUUGGUAUCCUCAUACCUAGUUCAAUCUCAUUAUUGACAAGUCUCUUUACUCGUUCUGUAAUGCAUCAUCCCGUAACUAACUCUUUAGUCACAUUACUUGCCAGGCUUAUAGUGAUGUGCAUUUCCGAGAGGGCCCAGAGAUACCUCUCUGACAAUCGGAGUGAAAACUUCUAAUCUUGAUCUAUGCCAACUCAACAAACACCAUCGGAGACACUUGUAGAGCAUCUUUAUAAUCACCUAGUUACGUUGUGACGUUUGAUAGCACACUAAGUGUUCCUCCGGUAUUUGGGAGUUGCAUAAUCUCAUAGUCAUAGGAACAUGUAUAAGUUAUGAACAAAGCAAUAGCAAUAAACUAAAUGAUCAUAGUGCUAAGCUAACGGAUGGGUCAAGUCAAUCACAUCAUUCUCUAAUGAUGUGAUCCCGUUCAUCAAAUGACAACUCAUGUCUAUGGUUAGGAAACUUAACCAUCUUUGAUUAACGAGCUAGUCAAGUAGAGGCAUACUAGUGACACUCUGUUUGUCUAUGUAUUCACACAUGUACUAAGUUUCCGGUUAAUACAAUUAUAGCAUGAAUAAUAAACAUUUAUCAUGAUAUAAGGAAAUAUAAACAACAACUUUAUUAUUGCCUCUAGGGCAUAUUUCCUUCAGUCUCCCACUUGCACUAGAGUCAAUAAUCUAGUUCACAUCGUCAUGUGAUUUAACACCAAUAGUUCACAUCUUUAUGUGAUUAGUUCACAUCACCAUAUGACUAAUACCCAAAGGGUUUACUAGAGUCAAUAAUCUAGUUCACAUUGCUAUGUGAUUAACACCCAAAGAGUGAUCAUGUUUUGCUUGUGAGAGAAAUUUAGUCAACGGUUCUGCCACAUUCAGAGUCGUAUGUAUUUUGCAAUAAAAAUUAUGUCUACAAUGCUCUGCACGGAACUACUCUAGCUAAGUGCUCCCACUUUCAAUAUGUAUCCAGAUUGAGACUCAGAGUCAUCCAGAUCGGUGUCAAAACUUGCAUUGACGUAACUCUUUACGACGAACUUUUUGUCACCUUCAUAACCGAGAAACAUAUCCUUAUUCCACUAAGGAUAAUUUUGACCGAUGUCCAGUGAUCCACUCCUGGAUCACUAUUGUACCCUCUUGCCGAACUCUUGGUGAGGUACACAAUAGGUCUGGUACACAACAUAGCAUACUUUAUAGAACCUAUGGCUGAGGCAUAGGGAAUGACUUUUCAUUCUCUCUCUAUUUUCCGCCAUGGUCGGGUUUUUGAGUUUUUACUCAACUUCACACCUUGCAACACAUGCAAGAACUCCUUGUUUGUCUGUUCCAUUUUGAACUACUUCAAAAUCUUGUCAAGGUAUGUACUCAUUGAAAAAUAUAUCAAGCAUCUUGAUUUAUCUCCAUAGAUCUUGAUGCUCAAUAUGCAAGUAGGUUCACCGAGGUCUUUCUUUGAAAAACUCCUUUCAAACACUCCUUUAUGCUUUCCAAAAAAUUCUAGAUCAUUUCCGAUCAACAAUAUGUCAUUCACAUAUACUUAUCAGAAAGGCUGUAGUGCUCCCACUCACUUUCUUGUAAAUACGGACUUCACCACAAGUCUGUAUAAAAAUAUAUGCUUUGAUCACUUUAUCAAAGCAUAUAUUCCAACUCCGAGAUGCUUGCACCAGUCCAUAGAUGGAUCGCUGGAGCUUGCACACUUUGUUAGCACCUUUAGGAUUGAAAAAACCUUCUUGUUGCAUCAUAUACAACUCUUUUUUUAGAAGUCCAUUAAGGAAUGCAGUUUUGACAUCCAUUUGCCAGAUUUCAUAAAAUGUGGCAAUUUCUAACAUGAUUCGAACAGACUUAAGCAUCGCUACGAGUGAGAAAAUCUCAUCGUAGUCAACAUCUUGAACUUGUCAAAAACCUUUUGCGACAAUUCGCUCUUUGUAUAUAGUGAUACCACUAUCAGUGUCUGUCUUCCUCUGGAAGAUCCAUUUAUUCUCAAUGGCUUGCCGAUCAUUGAGCAAGUCAACCAAAGUCCACACUUUGUUCUCAUACAUGGAUCCCAUCUUAGAUUUCAUGGCCUCAAGCCAUUUUGCAGAAUCUAGGCUCAUCAUCGCUUCCUCAUAGUACGUAGGUUCGUCGUGGUCUAGUAACAUGACUUCCAAAAAGGAUUACCGUACCACUCUAGUGUGGACCAUACUCUGGUUGACCUACGAGGUUCGAUAGUAACUUGAUUUGAAGUUUCAUGAUCAUCAUCAUUAGCUUCCUCACUAAUUGGCGUAGUAAUCACUAGAACUAAUUUCUAUGAUGAACCACUUUCCAAUUUGGGAGAAGGUACAAUUACCUCAUCAAGUUCUACAUUCCUCCCAUUCACUUCUUUCGAGAGAAACUUCUUCUCUAGAAAGGAUCCAUUCUUAGCAACGAAUAUCUUGCCUUCGGAUCUGUGAUAGAAGGUGUACCCAACAGUUUCCUUUGGGUAUCCUAUGAAGACGCAUUUCUCCGAUUUGUUCGAGCUUAUCAAGUUGAAACUUUUUCACAUAAGCAUCAUAGCCCCUAACUUUAAUAAACGACAACUUAGGUUUCUUGCUAAACCACAGUUCAUAUGGUGUCGUCUCAAUGGAUUUAGAUGGUGCUGGCAGACGGCAAAGAGCCUGGACGGCACACGUGGCAGCUUAUGUCUGUUAGGGGGUUAACGUCAUGCUUUGCUGUCUGCCAGCAGACGGCAAAGCUGCCAAAUAGGCCAGCCAGUGCACCCCAGGUUGCACAGGUAGCUGCCACAUGGCAGCUUUGCCGUGUGUUGGCUGAUGGCAAAGCUCUUUGCCGUCUGCCAGCAGAUGGCAAAGAGCCUGUACAGCCCCUAUUUUUUCUUAGAUUCAUUCAAUUUCACAGAAUUUCACAGAUAUAUAUAACAAGUUUCCAACACAUAUAACGAGUUUCCAACAACAAGUUAUCCAACAUAAAAUGGUUUCAUCCAUACAUACAUAUCCAACAACAAGUUUGCAACAAGUAUCCAAAAACAUAAAAUAAGCACAAGGAGAAGAGUAGACUCCAUGAACGUAGGCUCCUCAUAUAAAGCAAAUCUGCAAAUUGAGAAAGAAGAAAGUUAGAAGAAGAAGGAGAAGAAGAAGAAGAAGAAGACUAGCUAGAAGAAAAAAAGAAGAAUUUAUCUUUUCUUUCUUUUUCUCCUCUCCUCUUCUUUAUCUUCUUCUUCUAACUAAGGUAGGUAAAAAUGCCAUUUUUUAGCUAAGCUAGGUAAAAAUGCUAAGUGUGUAGGUCAUUUUAGAGCUAAGCUAGGUAAAUAGGUCAUUUUGGAGCUAACCUAGGUAAAAUGGAUCAUAUUGGAGCUAACCUAGGUAAACUAGAUCAUUUUGAAGCUAACCUAGGUAAAAUGGAUCAUAUUAGAGCUAAUUUAGCAUUUUAGAGCUAACUUAGAGCUAACUUAGGUCAUUUUUGAGCUAAGUUAGGUAAAAUUGAUCAUUUUGGAGCUAAUUAGACUUAGUAUGUCAUUUUUGAGGAAAAUAAGCUAACUAUAUGACAUAUAUCAGGUUACCAAGACUGUUAUGCCAUUUCAAACCUAAGUAAGCUAAUUAUGCCAUUUUUUACAUAAGUAAGCUAAGUGCAUGUCAUUAUUGAGCAAACCUAGGUAACUAAGCAUAUUAGAGAUAAUUUAGCAUAUUAGAGCUAACUUAGGUCAUUUCGAAGGAAACAAAGCUAAGUAUAGAUCAUUUUGGAGCUAAGUAAGCUAAUUAUGUCAUUUUGGAGGAAGAUAAGCUAAGUCUAGGUCAUUAUGGUAAGCAUUUUGGAGGAAAUAAAGCUAAGUCUAGGUCUUUAUGCAUUUCGUAAGCAAAACACUACAGAAAACUUACCGUCAUCACGGAGGUGAAGGAUCUUCACUCCUCCUUCUCCUUCUCCUUCAUCAUCCUGAUGCGCUUAGAGCGGCGAGGCAGUGGGAUGUACUCUUCUACCAUAAUUGGCAUGGUCUUGUCUCCCAGCCAUGGGAUCGCCGGCGCCACCACCAUCGCGAGGUCAUCUUCAGGCACCACCAUCGCUAGGUCAUCUUCAGGCACCACCACCAUCGUGAGGCCAUCUUCAGGCACCACCAUCGCUUGCCCAUCAUCAGCCACCACCAUCGCUAGGUCAUCGUCAGCCACCACCAUCGCUUGCCCAUCGUCAACGACCACCAUCGCUUGGCCAUUGUCAGCCACCACCAUCGUGAGGUAAUCGUUAGACAGAAUAGGUUGCACCUCCACAUCUCCACUCUGCUCCUCUUCUUCCACACUCCGUUCCUCCUCAUCGUCGAUGCUGCUUUUGUUGUAGGUAGAGUUGCUGCUGCUUUUGCCGUAGUUAGAGUCGCUGCUGCUGCUCCCAUUGCCUGACCAAAUGCAACAAAGUUUUUUUUAACAAUCGGUCUGAGACAAAGCCAAAUGGAGAGGAAGAAGAGACAGAGCGUACUGGCAUCAUCGUCGUCCUGGUAGCGCAUGCGGCACAUAGUCGUGUUGAACACCUUCACGGUGAGCAUGACGUUGUUGUUGUACCUGAGGACAAGGAAGUAUCUGUGCCGUAGGUCGUAGGCACAGACGAACUGCUCCUAGCCACGACACAGGUACAUGUGGCGGUCGGUGUCGAACACCACCUCCAUGUCCCACAGCCUGCGAAGCCCGCUGUCGGCCUGUCGCAGCUUUACAUUCUGUGGCCGACGGCUGUCCAGCAUCUUCAUAAAAGUGUUAGGCAGCCUCUGCAGCGUGGGUCAAGCAGUGAUGUAGCAAACAACAGAGUUAUGAUAAGGAGAUGGGUGAAGGGGAGAUCUCUCAUUUUAUAUACCUGCCUGCUGGAGGAAUUCUCAAGUAUGAUCGUGAAGAACUCGAAACCUUCCAAGUCGGACUCCGGCAUGGCAGAGCGCAGCCGGUGGUGGCGGCCUCCCCCAUCUCUGAUAAGCAGCAGAAGAGACCAAUUACUACCCUUACAACAUUAUCAUACAACAUUACAGCAUCAGAAGUUUUGAGCAGAAGAGAAUCAACUACACCAAGUUAUCAUUUCACAUUCAAAAAGCAAUGCACUUGUGGACAUUUAUGAUGGCAAGAACUAUAAUUCAAAAAGCAAAGCAAGAUAAACAAGCACUUAGUUAGAUGUCUUUGCCAGAGCCUCAAUUUGAAAUACUACUAUAAAUGGCAAUGGCCUCAAUUUGCUACUACUCUAUCUUGGCAAUGAGUAGGAGAAGAACAUCAACAUCAAGAACACCCUUAGAAUAACAUCAACAUCAAAUACUUUAGUGUUUUUAGAGUUUUAGGAGAAUACCAUCAACAAGCUCUUAGUAUCACUUUUUUAUCCAGAAAACACACCAUCUAUAGUGCUGUCUUACAAAGAAAACAUCAUAAAAAAACCCCAUCAAAAGUAUUCUCUCCGGUUCACAAAAUUGCUUUCAACCAUGCAUUGCAGUUUUCUGAAACCGAAGUAUUCACUGCCCACACAUUGGAAUACUUAGGGUAUUAAUUAAACUAAAUAACUUAAACUAACUAAAUUAAAAAACCUAAACUAAAAAAGUAAUUAAACCUAAAUUAAUUAAACUAAAUAACCUAAACUAAACAGAAAAAAUAGAAAAAACAGGAGAGGGGUGACCGUGGGGGCGGCAGGGGCUCACCGUGNNNNNNNNNNNNNNNNNNNNNNNNNNNNNNNNNNNNNNNNNNNNNNNNNNNNNNNNNNNNNNNNNNNNNNNNNNNNNNNNNNNNNNNNNNNNNNNNNNNNNNNNNNNNNNNNNNNNNNNNNNNNNNNNNNNNNNNNNNNNNNNNNNNNNNNNNNNNNNNNNNNNNNNNNNNNNNNNNNNNNNNNNNNNNNNNNNNNNNNNNNNNNNNNNNNNNNNNNNNNNNNNNNNNNNNNNNNNNNNNNNNNNNNNNNNNNNNNNNNNNNNNNNNNNNNNNNNNNNNNNNNNNNNNNNNNNNNNNNNNNNNNNNNNNNNNNNNNNNNNNNNNNNNNNNNNNNNNNNNNNNNNNNNNNNNNNNNNNNNNNNNNNNNNNNNNNNNNNNNNNNNNNNNNNNNNNNNNNNNNNGUAGGAAGGCAGGGAGGUGCGGCGACGGGGCGGGGAGGGUGCGGUGGCGACGGCGCGGGGUGGCAGAGGGAGGAAAGAGGAGAGGAGACAGAGAGAGAGGGGGCGAUGGCGGGGGCGCGGCCCCGUUAAGUCAAUUUUGAAGCUGGUGCCCCCUCUUUGCCGUCUGCUAGCAGACGACAAAGCUUCUUUAUCGUCUGCUAGCGGACGGCAAAGAGUUGGCUGAUGGCAAAGCCUAGCUUUGCCGUCCGCUGCCUCUUUGCGUCUGCUUUCUGGUGGCUGAUGGCAAAGCCUAUCUUUGUCGUCCGCUAGCGGACGACAAAGAGUGGGCAGACGACAAAUCUGUUGAUUCCAGUAGUGAAUUCGUCCUGAAAGCUUUCUUAUGAUUUUUUUCAGGUCAAAAGCCUCCAUAUAGCAGAAGAUGGACACGGGAGACCUGUCAGGGGGCCCACAAGCCGUAGGGGCGUGCCCUGGGGGUAGGGCGCGCCCCCCAGGCUUCUGGCCACCUGGUGGGUCUCCUCUGGUAUUUUAUUCGCUCAAUAAUUUUUAUAUAUUUUAAAAUAAUCCUCCGUAAAUUUUCAGAACUUUUGGAGUUGUGUAGAAUAGGUCUCUUAGAUUUACUCCUUUCCGUUUCAAAAUUUCAGCUGCUAGCAUUCUCCCUCUUCAUAUAAAUCUUGUAAAAUAAGAGAAUAAAUGCAUAAGUAUCGUUCCAUAAUGUGUAAUAGCAUCCCAUAAUACAAUAAAUAUCAACAUAAAAACAUGAUGCGAAAUAGACAUGUCAGCCUCCAUGUGAGACGAUUCCAUAGUGGAUUCAAGACCCCAUCUAAGGAAGAUCUUCUUCCUCCAAGAAUAUUAAGACCUCUCUCCUUCAAGGAUUGAGACGAACUAGUGUCUCUCUUACCUUCUUGUAUUGGAUUUGGACCUUUGUAUCCCUCUAUGUGUAUGUGGAUUUAGCAUAUGUGUGAUUGGAUCUUGUCUAUUUGAGUGUUUAUCUUUGGUUUGCUUUCUUUUUCUCCUCCGAGUGUGAAAAGAUCAUAAACUUAGAGUUCCACCCUACAUCACUAAUCUAGUAUUGGCCGGUGUCUCGGUCCUUGAUUUCCGAUACGUACCCCAUGUCUGCUGCCACACUCCGUGGUACUUCUUCUUCUUCCUCGGUGGUAGGUUCCUCGGGUCGGCUGCACGCCGUAGCGACCUUUGACUACUCGAUCUACUCGAUAUUUCUAUUUUGGGGACGACGCCGCGACGGGAGGUGCGAGGUGGUUGUGGUGCCGGCUUGAUUUGGGUGGCACCCACAUCGAUGCAAUGUGACUUAGGAAGAGAUGUGAUGCCGGGGGAGGUGGAGAUUCAUCUUUGAUAAUGAGCCGCAGCUGAGCAAAAUAAGCAGCGGCUGAUGCGAUGAGUAUAAUUUUUUAGGGGUCAACCCGGAUAAAGGUUCGACUAGGUCCGGUUUAACUCCUGAAAGUUAAACUUUUAAUCAUUUAACCGGCUUUGAGGGAUGACUAGAGAUGCCAUAGGUGCACCUACAUUUACUUAGCCCCAUGGUACAGGCAUAACAACAGAGAUCGAGAAAGCCUUUUUUUAGAUGGAAAGGAAGAAAGCUUAUUUGCUACUGCAUUAAUUGUUACAUCCAACUGAAGACGGCCGGUCUUGAAUCCACUGCGAGAAUUUGAACAGCUAGAGAUACAGAUGAUCAGAUACACAACCGAACAGUUCACAUAAGAUCACAAGAGAGUAGCACACGCGCCUUGUUGCAUUAUAUUACACCACCACCAUCUACACACGAACGGCGUUGCCUGCUUUGCCCAGCGACGGAGACGGGAGAAUCUCCUACUGAAGUGCCGCGACAACG